rnacentral:lncRNA from 1 species
CUCAUUUAAGUAAAUUGUAAGAAAAAAAAACUUGGAAGCUGUUAUAGUCCCAUGCACGUGAAAGGUUCUAAGAAUAUCUUAUUUUAUGAAUAAUUGUUUAAACUUGAGCCUUAGCUCGAUUCAGAAGAUCGUCCCAACACACCUACGAAAGAACGGUGCGCUUUCUUGUCAUGUCUUCCAAUUCCAUGCUGAUAUUCAUCGCCACCUUUGGUUUCUCAAUUGUCUAGUGCAUAAUGCAUCGUCUCAAUGACACUACAAGCGCCAUUGUCCUCCAAGCUCGAAUUAUACUUGGCUUUACCACCCCUAGGAGCAAACCUCGCAAGAGUCUCAGUUCUACUUGUCAGUUUUCCUCCCAAUGGACGCCAUGGAACUAUCCAACAGCGGUGGCAUGGCGAGCUACGCGAAAACCUGUCCGGAAAGGAGCGUACCGCGACCUAGUGCUGAGCGACGUAGAUGAAAUUUUUUUGUGGUCGACCAACACGGGCCUCGAGAGCUCUGGAAAUCUCGUAAUCCGGAGCAAAACUGGAGCUUUGCUGUGGCAGAGCUUUGGUCAUCCCGGUGAUGCUAUGCUCCCUGCCAGCCUCUAAAACCAGGGAUGAAGUUAGUAGCCAGCAUCUCUAACGAGAACAAAGAGCGAGGGUACUUCUCACUCGGGUAAGCUGCUUCUUGGUCGCUUUGAACUCCAGUAUGUUGGGAUAUUUUGGAGAGCUCUGGAGCUCCGACGAGGAAGAAGAAGAGAUAUCGUUUCUCUUCCUCGUCAAUAGCAGCUUGGAAAUCCACGGGACGAAAGGUGUUAUGUGGUCCACUCCAACGAUCGGUGAUGUUACUGGUCAAUACGGAUACCAGUUACUCAAGAUCUACUCGAAUGGAGAGCUCCAUUUUACCUCGAGAUCAUUCAGCAGCAGCAACAGCACGACGAGCAUCGACUUAAAACCCGCAGUUAUUCGGGAACAGCUUGCUUACUCGAACCUGUGGGAUCUCGUUCCAGACAGCUGAUGGAUGCCUCUGUCCGGAGCUCAAGAACGACACCAGGGGAUCGUCAUCCAUGGAGUACGUUUCUUCCGGGGACAAGGAGAGGUGCAAGCCCGAAAACGAACCUGGAAGAGCCUGCGAGAACUCGCAACAUACUACAUGCUCGAAGCCACAGUACGAUACUUCUACAAACCUCUAGAUUUAUCCAGUGCGCUCCACAACGUCACUCCAGCAGCGUGCAUGGCCCUGUGUAUCAAAAACUGUUCGUGCAAAGCAGUUCUAAGCCAGGAGAAAACGAGUACCUGUUUCCAGAUGAAUGAAGUUUUUGCUUUGAACAGAACUCGCAACGUCGUCGAUCAAGCUUUGCUGUUUUAGAUCAAGUUGUACCAAGAUGGAGAUCUUCCAAAGCUCUCAGCACCAGGCAGCUCGCAGAACAAAGUAGCCAAGCAGCAGAAAAAGGCAAAGCCAGCCCUCGUCGCGGCUUUCUCUGUGGCAACCAUGGCUAUAAUCAUCAUCGCAAUGGUGAUCUGGAAGAAACAGAUAAACUCGUAGCUCAAACACUACAAACCAUCGCUUCCAUCCGGUGCUAUGGACGUGGUGCGCGUCUUCACGUACCCGGAGCUCCACACUGCAACCAAAGCCUUCAGUAAGAAAAUCGCAAGUGGAGGCUUUGGCACGGUUUUCGAAGGGAUACUCUCGGAUGGAUCCAAGGUUCCUGUCAAGCGUCUGGAAACCUUCUCGAGCCAAGGAUACAAGCAGUUCAAGGCGGAGGUGGGGGCGAUCAGAAGCAUCCAUCACAAGAACCUCGUAAGACUCAAAGGCUUUUGUUCCCAGGAAUCACACCACUUCCUGGUUUACGAGUACGUACCAAACGGAUUGCUAGACAAGUGGAUCUACAAGCCGCUGGAAGAGCUCAACUGGGACACGAGAUUCAGGAUAGUCGAGGAGAUUGCUCAAGGGAUUCGCUACCUCCACGAGGAAUGCAGCACUAGAGUCCUCCACUUGGAUAUCAAGCCGCAAAACAUACUCCUGGACGAGAACUUUGGUGUCAAGAUAGCAGACUUUGGACUGUCCAGGAUGGUAGAGCAAGGAGAUCUAAGCGAUGUCAUGACCAUGAUCCGAGGAACACCCGGACAUAUGAGAUGAGAGUGAGCGACAAACUGGACGUCUACAGCUUUGGGAUCCUUGUGCUGGAAGUGGCUACCGGAUUACAAGCUUUCCAUACCUGUGUGUCUUGCGGGAGGAGCCCGGGCAUGGGCGUUUGAGAAGCUUCGGUCUGGGAAGUUAAUGGAGAUGUUAGAAGAGAAGAGGGCCCGGCACGAAAUGGAGGCUAUCUCUAAGGCCGAGAAGCUGCUUCGCAUUGGAGUGUGGUGCAUCCAGCCGGAUCCAAGGGAGCGCCCUGCAAUGGCUCAAGUCGUCAAAAUGUUGCAAGGAGUGCCCUAAAAUUCUUUGACCAAUGAAUUCUUUAUUAUUUAGAUCCUUUAAGGAGUUAAAGCUUUUAGUUUAAUCUAGUUUAAUAUGUUAUAUUUUAGUUUAGUUAAGAAAAUUAAAAAAGUUUUAUUUGGAAUAUUUUCCCAAUUUUUCCUUUUAAUAUUAAAACAUGGUUAUUAUUUAAAUGUCAGUUACGAAAACCACUUUAGAAUCAUUGUUUUUUUAGAUCUUAUUAAAGAAGUAAGAAAAAUAAUUAUUGCUCCGUGUUUUUGAAUAAAUAUGACAAUAUCAUUUUUAAAUGCACAACCAAAUAGUAGAUGGAAUAUCUUUCCUGAUUUUAGUAUAAUAUAUAAAGGCUUUGAUUUACAAGUAGAAUUUACAAAUAUGAUGGUUGGUUUUGUUAUGGAUGCUUUUUGUAAAAUUUGGAUCCACAGAAUAUAUCAAUGGACAAUUUACCAAAUCAUAUCAGUUUGAUUCAGAUUAUAUUUUUCCACAUAAAGUAAAACGUACUCACAACCACAUAAAAACGAUUUCAAUAUUUAUAAGGUCUGCAUAAGAAAUGGACCACACCAUUUUUGUCUUUUCUACAUUAUCAAAUGGGAACUUUCUGCAAUCUCUAAAUGGAAUAUUCACGCUUUACAUGCAACUGGAUUGCAAUCUAGUUUUAUAUACAAAGAGUGUAAUUGUUUGGAGCACUCACACAAAUAGCAAAGGCAAUGGAUGCUUUCUAAGGUUGCAAAAAGAUGGAAAUAUGGUAAUCUAUGAUGAAAAUUACACGGUUGUUUGGUCAUACAGCAUUUACUGGAAAGACAAAUGGAUUACUAGCGCAUUAUGUGUUAAUAACUCUGGACGUGUUAUAGUAUGCAACACUGUAGAGCAAACUUGUAUAUGCCCAUCACGAAGAUGAGAAUUUAAAAUCUAGCAUUCACUCUACACAAAUAUGAGACAAACGGACAUAAGUUGAUGCUCCAGAAGCUCUUGCGAUGGCGCCAAACCGAUUAUUGCCAUGAGUUUUACAAGCCCCAAGCAGCGUCAUGUAGGCAAUGGAGCCCGGCUCGAUUGGCAUGCUAUCGAUCACCUCUUGGGCCUCAUCAAGCCGGCCAGUUCACCCAAGCAAAUCGAUCACACACAUGAAAUGCUCCAAGUUUGGAGCUAUGUGAUGAUCGAGCACAAGAGGCUGGAAACUAUGCUUACCACUCUCAAAGAGCCGGGCGUGGCUACAUGCAGAGAGAACACUGACAAUUGUAACUUCGUCCGGAUCAAGCCCCUCGUGCUUCAUCCUCCAGAAGAAAUCAAAAGUUUCAUCAAAAUGACCGUUGUUUGCAUAUACCGAGAUGAUUCCAUUCCAUGAAACCAUGUCCUGCCCUGUCGUUGCCUCAGAAGCCAACCUUGCCCCUCCAAGGUAUCCACACUAAGCAUUUGGUGUUGAGUAGAAAACUAAGCUGGGAGAAGAAUCUAAAUGGAAACAAUGAAUUUCUCUCUUGAGACUUCCUGAAAAUUAGUGGUGCCCAAGUGCUAGUGAAAAAAUCAAAGUAGAAAGAUUCAAGGAAAGGGAGAAAUCCUUGUCCAAACGCCAAAUUCAUACUCAAGAUUGAGAAAUUGUGCUUGCAUAAUGUCUGUCAAAGCUACCUGAUUCAAUUGUGAAUUCUGGAUGUCUAGUGUGAAUGAAAGUGUGAUGGUUCACCUCAGUGCUUGGAGAGUUCUUCAAUUCGAACAUCAAAUCAGAACUGAAUCUAUCUCCCCAGAACAAAAAAUUGAUCAUUAAUGUGUUAGCAAUCUAAGUUUUUAAACUGACAAAGGACAGCAUUCGAAGAAACAUCCCAAGAAAAUAUUUUAGAACCCUAAAACGCAUCAUGGUUCUAUGCGCGUAAAUGCUGCGGCGGCACUACUCCGAAAAUGCCGAUCUCCCACGGAGGCGCGGAUUCUCCACUCGCAGAUCGCCAGGGCGGGCCUGGAUCGCAACACAUUCGUCGCGAAUCUUGUCAUUCACAUGUACAGCGUCUGCGGCAGCCUGCGGGAUGCCGAGAACGUCUUCCACAGCGGCGCAGCCCGCCGCAACGUCUACUCGUGGACGAUCUUGCUGCGAGCAUUUGCCCAGACAGAGGAUCUUGCCAGAGCCAGGGACGUUUUCACGCGAAUGGCUCAUCGCGAUGUGGUCUCCUGGAAUGCGCUGAUUUCCGGGUGCGCAGGCGCUGGGAAUCUCUCGCGGUCGCAGGAGCUCUUCGAUUCCAUCCCGGAGAGAGAUCUUGUGUCCUGGAACACGAUCAUCGCGGCGUAUGCCCAGAAUGGGCAUUGCAGAGAGGCGCUGGGAUUUUUCCGGGGCUUGGAUCUCGAGGGCGUGGCGCCGGAUUCCAUCAGCUUCGUGAGCGUUCUCGAUGCCAUUGCCGGGAUCGAAGGGCUGGAUAGAGAUCUGGCAAGGGCGAUUGCCAUGGAAGCAAUCUGGCUGGGAAUUCAUACCCAGAUCGCUGUCGGGGCGGCGCUCGUUGUGGUUUAUGGAAAGAUUGGCGAGGCCGAGAGCGCGGAGCAUUUCUUUGAUCGGAUCAUUGGCAGGAAUGCGAUAUGCUGGAACGCCAUGCUGUCCGCGUAUGCCCAAUCAGGGAAUCUUUGCAAAGCGCGAGAGUUCUUCGACCGAAUGCCUUGCGUUGAUGUGAUCUCCUGGACGACGAUAAUUGAUGCCACAUCUCGCCAUGAACGGCUCCAGGAGGGAAAGGAUCUCUUUGAUUGCAUGAAACAAAGAGAUUUGGCUGUCUGGAACGCUCUACUUUCGGCAUUUGCCCAAAAGGGGCAUGUUUUGGAGUCUAUAGAUUUGUAUGAAAGGCUCCCAGCCCACGAUCUUCGUUCAAGAACAUCACUGCUCAUAGCUUAUGCUUCGAAAGGUGACAUGGUUUCGUUGCUUGAGAUAUUUCAUCAAACAAGCCACAAGGACGUCACUCUCUGGAACGCGAUGAUCACAGCACUUGCCCUGCUUGGGCAUCUGCUAGAAGCUCUAGACCUUUUCGAUUCAAUGGACGUUCUCAAGAACAAACUCACGUACAUCAUCGCCAUCGACGCCUGCGGCAGCCUUGGCGAUCCUGAUCGAUGCGAGAGGAUCUUCCACUUGAGCCAAGCCUGCGGAUCCUUGCGUAGCAAUCACGGAGUAUCGUGCUCCUUGAUCAAGAUGUUUGGCAGAUCCGGUGCGGUGGAGAGGGCCGAGCUCGUCUUCGAGCAGAAGAAGCGGCGGAGAGAGCUCUGGAACGCCAUGAUCGCGACGUAUGCUCACAAUGGAUGCCUCGACGAAGCGAUGCUCCUUUUCAAGACAAUGCCCCGGAGAGAUCUUUCCUCGUGGAGCAUCGUCGCUAGAGCUCAAGCCCAGCAGGGACACUUCGAUCAAGCACUGUUCUUGCUCGAGAUCUCGCCAGAGAUCACUAUCGCGGCAUGCAACGCGCUGAUCACCGCGUAUCUCCAGAGAGGCCACCUCGCUAGCGCGAGGCGGGUAUUCGAUCGGAUGGAGCAGCGAGACACGAGUUCGUGGAGCUCGAUCAUCGCGGCCUAUGCCCAGCUCGGUCACUGCGAGGAAUCACUCGCGCUGUUCUGGCAGAUCGACACAACACCCGACCGCGCGACGUUCCUCGCAGCUCUCGAUGCGUGCUCGGGCCUCUCGAGCCUCUCCCACUGCCGCCAAGUUCACGCAGCGGCGGAUCACACUGGCUGGAUCUCCGAUCUCGCCGUGGCGACUUCACUGGUGGCGAGCUAUGGAAAAUGCAAGGGAGUGGAGGAAUCCAAGGCAGUGUUUGAUCGCAUCGAGCACCCAUCCACUGUCUCGUGGAACUCUUUGCUAAGAUCAUAUGCGCAAAACGGGCAUCUCGCCAAGGCCGCGAGUUUCCUCGAGGAAACCAUUCCUUCUCCAGACGUGGUCUCGUUUAACACGCUCGCGGCGGCUUAUAUCCAGCACGGGAGAGUGAACGAGGCUCUGGAGAUUCUCACGAAAAGGAUGCCCUGCUGGGACAGCUUCUCGCACAAAACAGCUAUGGUGGCGCAUGCCCAAGCCGGGCAUAUCCACAAAGCAAAGGAAAUAUUUGAGAAAAUGGAGGAGCCAAGCACGGUCUCGUGGAACACCUUGAUUUGUAUCUUCGUCCAAGCCGGGGAAUGCGAGAGUGCUGCUCGGCUCUUUCACCAAAUGGAUCUGGAAGGCACCCAGGCGGACAAGGUGAGUUUCUUGGCUGUUCUUGACGCCCUUGGGAGGAUCACCGCUCUCCAAAAGGGAAAGCUUGUGCAUGGUGAGCUCCAUCACUCUAGGUUUCAAUCCGACGUGAUGACAAGCAAUGCCGUUGUCAACUUUUAUGGGAGGUGUGGAUACCUUCAAGGGGCAAAGGUGGCGUUUGAGGCAACGACAAGGCAGGACGUGGUUUCAUGGAAUGGAAUCAUCUCGGUGUAUGCAAACAACGGGCAUUUUGAGGAAACUUUUGAUCUCUUCUGGAGGAUGAAGCUCGAGGGGCUUGAUCCGGACGAAGUCACGUUUGUCAGUGUUCUCUCUGCAUGUAGCCAUGCCGGGUUCUUUGAGAGUGGUAAGUAUAGUUUCCAGUCUCUUGUGCUCGAUCAUCACAUAGCUCCAAACUUGGAGCAUUUCAUGUGUGUGAUCGAUUUGCUUGGGCGAAGUGGCCGGCUUGACGAGGCCCAAGAGGUGAUCGAUAGCAUGCCAAUCGAGCCGGGCUCCAUUGCCUACAUGACGCUGCUUGGAGCUUGUAAAACUCAUGGCAAUAAUCGGCUUGGAAACAUGGCUGCUCCAAGCGCCAUCACAAGAGCUUCUGGAGCAUCAACUUAUGUCCUUCUAUCUCAUAUUUGUGUAGAGUGAAUGCUAGAUUUUAAAUUCUCAUCUUGGUGAUUGCCAUAUAGAAGUUUGCUCUACAGUGUUGUAUACGACAACAUGUCCAGAGUUAUCAACACAUAAUGCACUAGUAAUCCAUUUGUCUUUCCAGUAAAUGCUGUCUGACCAAACAACCGUGUAAUUUUCAUCAUAGAUUACCAUAUUUCCAUCUUUUUGCAACCUUAGAAAGCAUCCAUUGCCUUUGCUAUUUGUGUGAGUGCUCCAAACAAUUACACUCUUUGUAGAUUGCAGUCAAGUUGCAUGUAAAGCAUGAAUAAACCAUUUAAAGAUUGCAGAAAGUUCCCAUUUGAUAAUGUAGAAAAGACAGAAUGGUGUGGUCCAUUUCUUAUGCAUACCUUAUAAUAUUGCAAUCGUUUUUAUAUGGUUUUGUAGGGUGAAAUAAGCAAGUUUUACUUUAUCUGGAAAAAUAUAAUCUGAAUCGAGCUGAUACUAUAUGCUAAACCGUCCAUUGAUAUAUUCUACAAAAUCAUCCAUAACAAAAUCAGCCAUCAUAUCUGUAAAUUCUACUUGUAAAUCAAAGCCUUUAUAUUUUAUCUACUAUUUGGUUGUGCAUUUAAUAAUGAUAUUGUCAUUCUUAAGGAUUUACCAUUUUUUGAAAACACUACUUUAGAAAGUGAAAAUCCUGAGUAAUAAUUAUCUUUUCUUCCUACGUCUUUAAUAAGAUCUAAAAGAAAACCCAUGAUUCUAUGUUUAAAACUGGUUAGUUUGUUAUAUUUUGGUUUAGUUAAGUAAAAUUAAAAUAGUUUAAUUUUUAUUUAUUUAUAAAUUCUUUAAUUUUAAAAUGUAAAACCUUUUACAAGCGUUUGAGAUGAAUAUUUAAUAUGCCCAAAUCUUUAUUUCUCUUAAUUUCUAUAUUAUUUCUAAAACAUUGUUACACUUUAAGUGUCAUUUACGAAAAUCCAAAUUCUAUAUCACUAAGCCUGGAUCUAAAUAAUAAAUAAUAUCCUCGAAGAAUCUUAGGGCACUUGCAUCGGGCGCUGCUUUGGAUCCGGUUGGAUGCACCACACUCCAAUGCGAAGCAGCUUCUCGGCCUUAGAGGUAGCCUCCAUUUCUUGCCGCGCCCUCUUCUCUUCUAACAUCUCCAUUAACUUCCCAGACCGAAGCUUCUCAAACCGCCAGGAACUUUGGGCUCCUCCCGCAAGACACACAGGUAUGGAAAGCUUGAAGUCCGCUAGCCACUUCCAGCACAAGGAUCCCAAAGCUGUAGAUGUCCAGUUUGUCUCUCACUCUCAUCUGCAACCAUUCCGGAGCCAUGUAUCCGGGUGUUCCUCAGAUCAUUGUCAUGACAUCGCUUAGAUCUCCUUGCUCUACCAUCCUCGACAGUCCAAACUCUGCUAUCUUGACACCAAAGUUUUCGUCCAGGAGUAGGUUUUGCGGCUUGAUGUCCAAGUGCAGGACUCUAGUGCUGCAUUCCUCGUGGAGGUAGCACAUCCCUCGAGCAAUCUCCUCGACUAUCUUGAAUCUCGUGUCCCAGUUGAGCUCUUCCCGCGGCUUGUAGAUCCACUUGUCUAGCGAUCCGUUUGCUACGUACUCGUAAAUCAGGAAGUAGUGUGAUUCCUGGGAAAAAAAGCCUUUGAGUCUUACAAGGUUCUUGUGAUGGAUGAUUCCGAUCGCUCUCACCUCCGCCUUGAACUGUUUGUAUCCUUGGCUCGAGAAGCUCUCCAGCCGUUUCACGGCAACGGAGAGUAUCCCUUCGAAAACCGUGCCAACGCCUCCACUUGCGAUUUUCUCACUGAAGGCUUUGGUUGCAGUGAGGAGCUCCGGGUAAUUGAAGACGUGCACCACGUCCAUAGCACCGAACGGAAACGAUGGUUUGUAGUGUUUGAGAUACGAGUUUAUCUGUUUCUUCCAGAUCACCAUUGCGAUGAUGAUUAUAGCCAUGGUUGCCACAGAGAAAACCGCGACGAUGGCUGGCUUUGCCUGUUUUUGCUACUUGGCGACUUUGUGAGUUGAGCUUCGGAAGAUCUCCAGCUUGGUACAGCUUGAUCGAAAACAGCAAAGCUUGAUCGACGACGUUGCGAGUUUUGUUCAGAGAAAAAACUUCGAUCAUCUGGAAACAGGUAGUCGUUUCUCCUGGCUUAGCACCCCUUUGCACGAACAGUUUUUGAUACACAGGGCCAUGCACGCUGCUGGAGUGACGUUGUGGAGCGCACUGGAUAAAUCUAGAGGUUUGUAGAAGUAUCGUACUGUGGCUUCGAGCAUGUAGUGAUGUUGCGAGUUCUCGCAGGUUCUUCCAGGUGCUUGCAUCCCUCCUUGUUCCCGGAAGAAACGUACUUCGUGAACGAUGCAGAGGCAUCCUUCAGCUGUCUCGAACGAGAUCCCACAGGUUCGAGUAAGCGAGCUUUUCCCGAAGAAGAGGGGGUUUAAGUUGAUGCUCUUCGUGCUGUUGCCGGUGCUGAAUGAUCUCGAGGUAAACCGGGGCUCUCCAUUCGAGUAGAUCUUGAGGAACUGGUGCCCUGUUUGAUCAGUAACACCACCGAUCGUUGGAGUGGACCACAUAACACCUUUCGUCCCGUGGAUUUCCAAGCUGCUAUUGACGAGGAAGAGAAAUGAUAUCUCUUCUUCUUCCUCAUCGGAGCUCCAGACCUCUCCAAAAGAUCCUCAACAUACUGGAGUUCAAAGCGACCGAGAAGCGGCUACCUCGAGUGAGAAGUACCCUGGCUCUUUGUUCUCCUAGAGAUGCUGGCUACUAACUUCAUCCCAGGGAGCACAGCAUCACAGGGAUGAUCAAAGCUCUGCCACAGGAAAGCUCCAAUUUUGCUCCGGAUGACGAGAUUUCCAGAGCUCUCGAGGGCCAAGACUUGCGCUCCAGAUCCUCCCGUGUUGGUCAACCACACAAAGCUUCCAAUGUCACUGGAAGCACCAUCUUCCUCCAAGCUCCACUCUCGAAUCCACUCCAGAUAUUUCGAAUUAGCCUUGGCUUCAGCACCCCUUCCUGCCUCCUACUUGGGAGCAAACCUCCCAAGAGUUCCAGUUCUACUUGUCAGUCUUCUACGCCAUGGACGACAAGGAGAGUUUCAAUCUCUACUAUCUAGCAGCGGUGACAUGGCGAGCUACGCGAAAACCGUCCCGAAAGGAGCGUACCUCAGCUUUACCAGCGAUGGCGACCUGGUGCUGAGCGACGUGGAUAGGUACCCAGCUUGUGCUUGGCUUGGCUGUGGAUUCCUGUUGGCAUUGUCCAAGGAGAACCAGCGGACGAUCUUAUGAAUCGAGCUAAUGAUCAAGUUUAAAUAUUCUUAGAACCUUAGAACGAACUAUGAUUUACUUGAAUGAGGACUUGUUCAAAGCUACUUGUCUCCCAAUGGACGAUCCAGCAGCAAUGGCAUGGCAAGCUACCUUACAAACUCAGUUGAAAAAAGUAAAAGUAUAGCGAAAAUCUUGUAAAAAUAUAAAAUUCGUAGAGAGUAUCAGCAAUUAUAAGCUUUUGAUCCCAGAUGUUGCUUACACUUGUCAUCAAACGCAGAUCACUUCAUCAGGUUCACCGUUUUGGGGCACAUUCCAAGGCAGGUACCAAAAGGGUUCUUCUUGCAGCAGUAGUGUUUCUUGGACGAGUCGCACAGCUGAAAGCAGGUACCAAGAGGGUUCUUGAGGCAGCAGAAGUAUUUGACAUUGGUCUCGCAAAGUUGCAGGCAGCCGCCGAGUCCAUUCUUGAGGCAGCAGUAGUAUUUGAUCUUGGAGUCGCACUCCUGAACACAUGAUCCCAAACCAUCCUUCAGGCAGCAGUACUUAUCUUGGAGGCCUGCAGCAUUAACAAACGGAGAAGCAGUGGCGCAUAAUAAAUAUCACAAGGACAACUCAUGAUCACAACAAGAGGGAUCAUAACGUGAUCUAUGUUACCGUGUUUGGAGGGGAUGACAACAUUGAGACCAGCAGCCUCGUUACUACCUUCACGAGACCCCUCAACGAUGUAAGUCACAUCGCUCUCCUUGUCAGUCACUAGAACGAUAUCUGCAAGUUAGACAAACGAUUUGCAAGAAUGCGGACACGUACGCUCAAUGUUGCGAGAUGCAUCGGCUACGAAGAGCAGCAGGCCAAAGAGGAGGGCGGAAAGAAGAAACACUUUGGCCAUUCUCCUUGAACUGAACCCAGAAAUGACAAUAUAAGGUUUUGCAUCUGUUUAUAAAGGGGGAACGCCUGCAUGCACAAAAUAUCUUCUAAAAAUAUCUUCCAAAAAUAUCUUCUAAUGUUUCCUCCUCUCAAAAUUGGAUCAACGUGCUAAAGUAUUUGUCAUGGUUUUUUGAGUGAUAACUCAUUGCCAUCUGUUUGCCAAGGUGGAAGUCACAAAACCCAUAGCAAGUCGUUUGACGUCAGCUGAAAUAUACAUGGUUGGUCUCAAGUAUCUGGCACCCAUGAAAAUCGAUAUCUAAACAAGGUGCUUGCGCUAAAGCCAAGUAAAUGAUCGAUGGCAUCACCUGUCUGAAAAACCUCUAGAGCUUCUUGGUAGCAUCAUGUCUAUUUCCAAAUGGAAUAGGGAUGCAAGCCAAUGUCCCCUUCACCCGAGGGGAACCGNNNNNNNNNNNNNNNNNNNNNNNNNNNNNNNNNNNNNNNNNNNNNNNNNNNNNNNNNNNNNNNNNNNNNNNNNNNNNNNNNNNNNNNNNNNNNNNNNNNNNNNNNNNNNNNNNNNNNNNNNNNNNNNNNNNNNNNNNNNNNNNNNNNNNNNNNNNNNNNNNNNNNNNNNNNNNNNNNNNNNNNNNNNNNNNNNNNNNNNNNNNNNNNNNNNNNNNNNNNNNNNNNNNNNNNNNNNNNNNNNNNNNNNNNNNNNNNNNNNNNNNNNNNNNNNNNNNNNNNNNNNNNNNNNNNNNNNNNNNNNNNNNNNNNNNAGGGCUCAUUUGUAUGAUGAGAAAGUGGACAAAUUGAGCCAAAGAGAACAGAUCCCUCUCACCAUAAGUGACAUUGACUUGCAUUCUUAUUCCAUUUUGAAAUAGACAUGAUGCUACCAAGAAGCUCUAGAGGUUUUCUAGACGAUGCCAUCGAUCAUUUACUCGGCUUUAGCGCAAGCACUUUGUUUAAAAUAACAAAACCCAGGCUGACAAAUCAAAUAAAAAGUGAUACGCAUAUCGAUUUUCAUGGGUGCCAGAUACUUGAGACCAACCAUGUAUAUUUCAGCUGAUGUCAAACGACUUGCUAUGGGUUUUGUGACUUCCACCUUGGCAAACAGAUGGCAAUGAGUUAUCACUCAAAAAACCAUGACAAAUACUUUAACACGUUAUAAUCUUGGGAUCGAAGAAAAACCAAUUUUGGGAAUCAGAGGAGGAAACAUUAGAAGAUAUUUUUCAGGCGUUCCCCCUUUAUAAAUAGAUGCAAAACUUUAUAUUUUCAUUUCUGGGUUCAGUUCAAGGAGAAUGGCCAAAGUGUUUCUUCUUUCCGCCCUCCUCGUUGGCCUGCUGCUCUUCGUAGCCAAUGCAUCUCGCAACACUCAGCAUACGUGUCCGCAUUCUUGCAAAUCGUUUGUCUAACUUGCAGAUAUCGUUCUAGUGACUGACAAGGAGAGCGAUGUGACUUACAUCGUUGAGGGGUCUCGUGAAGGUAGUAACGAGGCUGCUGGUCUCAAUGUUGUCAUCCCCUCCAAACACGGUAACAUAGAUCACGUUAUGAUCCCUCUUGUUGUGAUCAUGAGCUGUUCUUGUGAUAUUUAUUAUGCGCCACUGCUUCUCCGUUUGUUAAUAAUGCAAGCCUCCAAGAUACGUACUGCUGCCUGAGGAACGCCUUUGGAUGUCUUCAGAAGUGCGACUCCAACAUCAAUUACUUCUGCUGCCUCAAGAAUGCAAUAGGUGGCUGCUUACAGAUGUGCGACUCAUCCAAGAAACACUACUGCUGCAAGAAGAACCUUUUUGGCACCUGCGUUGAAAUGUGCCCCAAAACGGUGAACCUGAUGAAGUGAUCUGCGUUUGAUGGCAAGUGUAAGCAACAUCUGGGAUCAAAAGCUUAUAAUUGCUGAUACUCUCUACAAAUUUUAUAUUUUUACAAGAUUUUCGCUAUACUUUUACUUUUUUCAACUGAGUUUGUAAGGUAGCUUGCCAUGCCACUGCUGCUGGAUCGUCCAAUUAUAGUUCGUUCUAAGGUUCUAAGAAUAUAUAAACUUGAAUUUUAGCUCGAUUCAUAAGAUCGUCCGCUGGUUCUCCUUGGACAACGCCAACAGGAAUCCACAAAGGGAUGUCCGCUUGUUGUGGCAAAGAGUCAAGGGUGGCAAAGGGAAGCUUGUGGUGGAUCAGAUUCAAAGGUUGCAAGCCUGUGAACACAGGCAAAGGUGGCAAGCCUACAAGCAAAAGGCAAAGGUGCUGCCAAGAGUAGAGAACUGCUGUUUGCAUGAACCUACGCACCCGAAAUACUACUCGAUAGCCCUGCUCAUGAUCCACUAGAGUUGCAAGCUCAUGAUCAAAUGGCAGUUCUAAGCAAUACCAUUUCCACUUGUUGAAGAAUGGGUUUCCCCAACCCAAAAACUCUGCCUUCCUGGACCAGCACCAUUGAGAGACCAACUCGAUAACGAUGGCAGUAACGAUGUCCCUAUGGUGGAUUUGUAUGGCAAGUGUGGAAGCACGAUUAAUUCUCGGCUGGUUCUACGUCCGGAGAAGACAUGGUAAAGCUGGAACAUAGCGUUUUGAAAACCAUGGAGAAUCAAGCUUCUUUCCAAACCUUGCGAACAGAGCUGAAGCAGGUUUGCUCUAUCGAAGAAUAGUUAAGCAUGGCCUUGCAUCUGCCGCAAACGUCGUGAGCUUGUUACUUCCAUUGAAUCAAAGAGGUCCAUGAAGCUGGACAAGUACUGUGACCAUCGCGUUCCAAAGGGUGACGUUCUUGUAACUUGUUUGAUAAAAGAUCUCAAGUAGCGGAUCCAUGUAUAAGCCAUGGGUAGGAGCGAAGAUCGGAAGUCAUUCGAACAGAUCCCCCUUUUGGGCAUUAAGAUAAGCGCAUUCCAGACCGCUAAAUCUCUUUGUUUCAUGCAAUCAAAGAGAUCCUUUGCCUCCUGGAGCUCUUCUUGGCGAGGUGUGGCAUCUAUGAUCGUCGUCCAUGAGAUCACAUCCAAGCAAGGGAUUCGAACGAAGAGCUUUCGCGCUUUGCACAGCAUCGCGUUCCAGCAGAUCGCAUUCCUGCCAAUGAUCCGAUCAAAGCACUGCUCCGCGCUCUCGGCCUCGCCAGUCCUUCCAUAAACCACAACGAUCGCUGUCCCCACAGCGAUCUGGGUGUAAAUUCCCAGCCAGAUCGCUUCCAUGGCGAUCGCCUUUCCCAGAUCUCAUCCCGGCAAUGGCAUCGAGAACGGUCACGAAGCUGAUGGAAUCCGGCGCCAUCCAAGCCCCGGUAGAAUCGCAGCGCCUCUCUGCAAUGCCCGUUCUGGGCAUACGCCGAGAUGAUUGUUCCAGGACACAAGAUCUCUCUCCGGCAUGGAAUCGAAGAGCUCCUGCGACCGCGGGAGGUCCCAGCGCCCGCGUACCCGGCGAUCAGCGCAUUCCAGGAGACCACAUCGCGCAGAGCCAUUCGCGUGAAAACUUCCCUGACUCUGACAAGAUCCCCUGUCUGGGCAAAUGCUCGAAGCAAGAUCGUCCACGAGUAGACGUUGUGGCGGGCGGUGCCGCUGUGGAAGACGAUCUCUGCAUCGGGCAGGCUGCCGCAGACGCUGUACAUGCGAAUGACGAGAUUCGCGAUGCGAUCCAGGCCUGCCCUGGCGAUCUGCGAGUGAAGAAUGCGCCUCCGUGGGAAAGAAAGAACCAUGAUGCUUUUUAGGGUUUUAGAAUAUUUUCUUGGCGCCAAGAAGCUAUGGCGAUGGCGAUCAGAGGUAGCUCUCGACCUAAUCGAUCGAUGCAUCGAUCCAGAUGGGGCUCGAAUCUUGCUCGUAUUUCCUAGUCUCGAAUCUUUCGAUGCUAUACGCGAUUGCUUACGCUGAGAAAUCUGGGAUGACGCGAAUGCUUCCAAAUCAUUCCUUCGUCAGCAGGGAUCUGUGAAUCUCUCUAACGCAUUCCAUCACUUUUCUUAUAAUAUUUUCUAUGCGUUGUAUCAGAGAGGCCUGGCGAUCGAGAGGAAUAGCUCCAUCAAAUUAGACAAAGCUGGGAUUGCUUUCUACGACCUAUGGCGAUCAUACAGGUUCUACUUUUCCCUCUCAGCUUUUUUUUUUGGUUCUUUCCUUCUUGCUUUUGUCCUCUCGUUUUACGUAUCCUUUUCUUUUUUUCUCCUUGUGUUCCUUCUAGAGCUCUGAUUCAUGCUACAUUGCAAGUUUUCUAGCUAGCCUUUAAGCUUUGUUUCUUUCUUUCGCAAACAUACCACGGUCUUUGGAUCCUUUCCUUUUGCCUGUGUUGUUUUGCUCUCUCUUUUUUUUUUUCUAUACUAUCACAUUGUCCUGCGUUUGUGUGCCAGGAACGAUUUCGCUUUUCCACGUUCUAUUUAUUAUUACUUUCACAUCAGUUCACGUGUGGCGCUGCAGCAACAGGCGUUCUCGUCCAGCCUUUGCAGUGGUCAAGUAGUAUAAUUCUUACCAUCUCUUGUUUCUCUUUUAGUUGAUCGCUAAAGUCGGUGCUUUGUCAUACAGCGGAUCAUUGUCAGGCUCGUCGCAACCGAGUCAAGAGGAAUCCAGGCGAUUUUCAUCUGUCAGUGAGGACCAAGACCGCGGUAAGCUCCUCUGAUUGAGUGAGAGUCCUGUAACUUCGCUUCUGUUACAGCGACAGAGAGUCCGACUCCAAGUUUCCAAGUUUCCAAGUUUUCUUUUCGCUCCACGCGGUGACAGGUUCUUUUUUCUAUGCUGAUGGUUUUUAUAAGAUUAUGUAAAACUGGUCUUGCAGGGUGGCGAGAGAUAUUUCAUUGAAAAUGCGAGGCACAUUGGACAGUCAGUGUCGCUUUGUCACAGGAAUAGAGCAGAGGUGGCCUGGGGACGUGGGAUUCUUGAGCCAUGCAGAGGACGCAACUCCGGGCUGGCACUGAGGAGAAAGUCUGGACGAUUCAAUUUUCCAGGGAGGAGGAAGGAAAAGAAAAGAGGAGGAGACGCAAGGCAUCGGGUCCACUCUUGGUCGUAAAAGGAAGGACGAGACAGCCCAUAUGAGCGCACCAUUAAUGCAGCUGCCACAGAUUUCUCUGCGGCUUGCGGUACUCUUGUAGUUCCAACUGCAAGCACUGGAUGGGAAAACAAAAAAAAACAGAGGAGAAAAGCAGGAGGACGACGAGACGAGCUUCACCGUCGUCUUUGAUUUCGGUGAACAACGCAAUGGAACAGGAGGAACAACAUGGUGGUGUAAGAGGCCAAGUGAUAGACAUUGAGGAGUUCCCUCCCGGGACGAGGUGAAAGUAUUUUAGUAUACAUCACUGGGCCUUUAUUCUAUCUCUGAGGAAGCAGGAACUUCGGGUUGAAUAGUAGCGGUAGUAGUCAGUCAACAGGGAAUGCUCGAGAUCAAUUGAGUCGACGACGGCAGUAUAAAAGAGAAAUCUCUGAAACAGCAAACGAGGACGCUCUCCGCCAUCUUCCUCCGAGCUCCUCCAGCUGAAACCUCUCCUGCGAUGGCGAAAUUCGCAUCGCUUCUACAGGUCAUUGCUCUUCUUCUUCAGCUGGCCGACUGUAGGAAGCUCAAACAGCAGCAGCAGCACGGUAAGUUUUUUUCAAGCAAGAACUUCCUCCAAAGUCUCACAAACAGCGGUUUUUUCUUCUUGCAGGAGACUCUUCGACAGCUUCACUCCCGACGGUAAGCCACGGCUGGUUUCGUUUUUCUAGCCCUCAUUUCGGAUAGUCUUUGCUGCAGACUAGUAGCAACUGUCUUAAAUUCGAUUCCACCGGUCUCAAAUGCGACCAGACUUUUCCAGGUUCGUAAAUACAUGCUGUGAAGAGCACGGCGUUUUUAAUCCCAGCUUUGUCAAUUCAACAGAGUCAAUCGAGAAAUCCCGGCUGCUGCUCGCGACUAAACCAGUUAAGCCCCCCACAAAGUUCUCUUUUUCCAAGUCUCUCACACCGCUUUCGCCUUUCCAGGAAGAGCUAGUGACCGAUCGAGCGUAUGAAUCCAGUCCCCCAAAGCGAACAAAUCUCAGUGACGCUUCUUCCGCCACCGCUGCGACUUUGGACGACGAAUUCACCGCUCCAUCGACGAGAAAGGAGCUGAGCGAGGACGAUUUCGAGGAGACAAUGAGGACAGACUACGCUCCAGUUCGUCGCAAGCCUCCCAUAAACAACGAAGUUCCAUUCUUCGCCAGUGACGCGACGCGAAGAACUUCUCCUUGAUCAAUGCUUUUUACCCCUGUACAUAAUCUAUCAUCGGUGACUCUUGGGAUUCGAACCUGACACCUAAUUAGAUUCUUUUUUGUACCUUUCUAUUUGUCACGUGGCCACAUCCUGGCCGUCGUAGAGUAGCGAAAAUCGACGGCCAGGGAUGGAUCCCAAGAAUAUCCGGGCUUUUGAAGCCAAAGGAAGCUAGGCUAGGCUAGACGUCUUCUAUGAUUGAUAAUCAGGGUUUGGAGGAGGGGAGCGCAUGAUCGUGUUCGCUGCCGCUGCCCUCGCGCUAGGUAGGAUUCUGGCCUCUCUCGAUCUUUCCAGGCUUCUGGUGCUAGAAAUUUGUCCAUCGCGGAGUGUGUGAGGAUCACGGAAUGCGCGUGAUUGCGCCGCAUUGUGGCCCCGGCGACGCUGUUGGUGUGGAGAUUUAUAGCGGAGGGGAGCUCGCGGCGGUGGAUUUCUAGCGGAUAAGCGGCGCCAUGAAGGGUUUCUUCAAGCACAAAUCCAAGUCGCCGGCGGAUCUAGUGCGGUCGGCGAGGGAGCUGCUCCAGGCGCUCGAUCAUGUCAACUCCCUCAAGGAUUCCAAGAGAGAGGAAAAGGUAUUUUAUUUUUUCAAAGUUCUUGCUAUACACAUGUGAAUGGUUGUGUGCUUGUGUAGAUCGCGGAGCUGUGCAAAAACAUUCGAGACAUCAAAAUCUCGCUAUAUGGGAACAAUGAAUUUGAUCCUGCGCCGGACUCGUGCGCGCAAAUCACACAGGAGAUUUUCCAGCACGACACGUUUCGAUUGAUGAUAGUUUGUCUACCGAAGCUGGAGCUCGAGGUAAAUCUUUAGACUGUAUGGAGGCUUUCUUCUUGACUUAAGGGAGUGUAACAGGCUCGAAAGGAUGUGACCCAGAUUGUUGCGAACUUACAGAGGCAGCAAGUCCAGUCGAAAGUCUUGGCUUGCGAAUACCUGGAAAGGAACAAGGAUUUGCUGGACAUGCUCAUCCUUGGGUAUGUUAAUUUCUAAAAUUCCUUUGUGUUUAUUGUCUGCUCUUUCAUACUGCAGAUAUGAGAAUGCGGAUCUUGCAUUGCACUACGGGACGAUGUUUCGGGAAUGCAUCCGGCAUCAAAGCAUGGCGCGGUAAGUCUUAGUUUUUAGUUUUCCUUUUUCUAUCUCGUAACUGUUGGCUUCACAGGUACGUCCUGGAAUCCACUCACUUCAAGAAGUUUUUCGAGUACAUCGAGCUGGCAAACUUUGCUGUCGCUUCGGAUGCCGCUGCGAGUUUCAAGGUCUUGUUAGACUGAUCCUGCUGCAUGGAUGAUUCCAAAUGUUGCUUGCUGCCCUCCAGUAUGUGUUUACAUGAUUGACUUGCAGGCUCUUUUGCACUGGUUUCUGACGAUGAGCUAUCCUUGAUCCUUAGGAGCUUCUUACGAGACAUAAAUCUACUGUGGCUGAGUACCUGGCAAGAAACUACGACUGGGUAUCUUUCUUCUCCAAUAUUUUUUUUUUCCGAAGUCUUCCUGACGUGUUUCUUUCUUUUUCUAGUUUUUUCAAGAGUACAACACGAGGCUUUUAGAAUCUCCAAACUACAUCACAAGGAGACAAGCUGUCAAGGUAUCAAUCACUUUGAGACGCUUCUUUUUGUUCACUCCACCAAAAUCUUUGUUUGCUAGCUUCUCGGGGAUAUGCUCCUGGAUAAAUCAAACACUGCAGUGAUGAUGCGCUAUGUCGUGUCAAAAGAGAACCUUCGAAUCAUGAUGAAUCUUCUCCGGGUAAGAUUUCAUGGCAACAUUCUUCACGUUUUUUUUAUUGUUCUGGCCUUCACAGGAACCGAGCAAAAACAUCCAGAUCGAAGCCUUCCACGUUUUCAAAGUGAGCAAAAAUGGCGCUGCUAUGAUCGAUUAAAUCACUCGCUGCGAUUGUCUCAGGUGUUCGUAGCCAAUACCAACAAGCCACCGGAGAUCGUGAGCAUCCUGGUAGCAAAUCGGAGCAAACUACUUCGAUUCUUCAGCGAUUUCAAGACAGAGCAAGGUAUGUUUUCUAUGAUUCUUGGGUGUGAUCAAACAAUGAUGAUUUGGCUCUGUAGAAGACAAGCAUUUCGACCAGGACAAAGCGCAAGUCGUCAAGGAGAUUGUAAAUUUGGAGCCGAGAGAUAUGAUAUAAGAAGUCGUGGAGAGAGAAUAAAAGGAAAAAAUCUCGUAUUUGCCAUUUGUCGGCGCCGCUAGGUUUGGGAAACCAUUUGCUUGUAUUUGGAGGCGCCGCUAGGUUUGGGAAACCAUUUGCUUGUAUUUGGCGGCGCCGCUAGGUUUGCCGCCAUAUCUAGCGCCUCUCUUCUUUCUCUUUGUUAACACAAAGAAAAGCUCUCGUGAGGGUUUUUCAAUUUUUCCCCAUCUAUGACAAGGUCCCGCUGCGAGCCCUGCGGAUUGGAGGCGACAAUUUUGCUCCCCCGGCCGCGAUUCUCCAUCCAGAGGUGAGAUUCUUGCGAGAAAUGCCCGGCGCUGCAAGGCAGGAGCGGUAUUUCGAUCCCAGGGCUUAGAACAGAAAGAAGAGGGCAAUGGAAGGGAAAGUAUCGCAGGAUGAGAGCCGGCGAAUGGUAUCCGAAUUCUUCGUCAAGAGCUUGAAUGUGAUCCUCGGCGCGAGGAUCCCAUCCAAGUAUUUGCAGCCAGCGACGAGCUCUUCCUCCGCUAGCGCUAGCACCAACAAGAGCUUCAAUCUCGUGCUGGUGAAUUCUCCCAUGAGGAACAAAUGCCACUUGAGCGUGGUGGAGCCGAUCGUGGUGGACGUGCUGCUGCUCCAUCACGGCUCCAGUGCUUGCGCUGCGAUCGAGGACCAUGUUUUCCGGUGGAGUCCAAGCCAGCAGACCCAGCAAAGCCAGUCAUUGCUCGAGCGCUGGGUGGUACACUGCGUUCCCUGGGCGUGUCUCAAGAGCAGCGAGAAGACCACCCAAAGCCCAGAUCAUGUCACGAAGAACAAGACCGCCACCGCCAAGAAGCCGCCGCUCUCACGGCGAUCGGUGGCGGCGCCGCCACCCUCGGCCGAGGAGAAGAAAAAUCCGUGGAAGAAGGCGAUGAAAAUGCUCAGCAUCAUGCUGCGGUCGCUCUACAAUCUCACGCGGCUCCUCCCGGCUUACAGGAUCUUCCAGCAGCUCAACUCGUCCAGCUCGCGAGGAUCUCCCGGCUGCUGCCACUUUGAUCUCUCAUACAAAGUGAGGAGCACUCUCAGCGUGACGGGGCAUGGAAGCUCCGACAAGAGCCUUUGCAAGUUUAACCUCACGCCGGUGGAGACGGAGCUGGGACGGAUGUGCAUCUCGGUCAAGUACUCGGAUGCUGCCAGCGUCGAGAGAGCCAUUCAGCGAACCAACUCCAUCUUCUCGGAGAUCAUCCAGGACUACGUUGGUGGUGGUGGUGGCGAUGGUGGCGGCGGUUCUAGUGGUUCUUCCCAGAAUCCACACUUUGCUGUGAAGGAUAGGAGGAUCUGUGCUGCUACUCGGACGAUGUCGAGCAACAUACCAGCGGUAAGUCUUUCUGUUUUUCGGUUUUUCUCUGCUUUCGUUGGAUAGUUUGCUUGCUUUGCUCUCGAGUUUUUGGUUUCUUCGAGCGUUUGGUUUCUUUGUUUUCGUUGGAUUGUUCUUUGCUAUCGAGCUUCUGGUUUCUUCCAGCGUUUGGUUCUUUGUUUUCGCUGGCUACUUUGCUUGCUUUGCUCUCGAGUUUUUGGUUUCUUCCAGCGGUUUCUUUCCUUUCGUUGGAUAGUUUUCUUGCUUUGCUCCAGCGUUUGGUUUCUCUCGUGUUCUUCCUGAUUUCUUUGAAAGUGUAUGAUUGAUUGCUUGCAGUAUUUGUAAGAGUGAGUGUUAAGAUCUUUUGCUUGUUUGUAUCAAGAGCUGUUCAUCGAGUUCCUACGUUUGAAUUGCCUUCUUUUCUGCUGGAUGUCUUAAGAAGUUUUCGAUUUGGAUGUCAAGCAGGCUGAAGUAGCAGCAGUAGCAGCUGUGAAGCGAUCUUACAGCAGCCCUUUGAAUCCAAUCGAGCUCGAUCAACAGCAGGAACUCGUCUGUCCAUUUGCCUGCGACGACGAGCGAAAAGUCUCGAGAGACGCCGCCGCGGGUGCUCUCAUCACAGCUCUCGUCUCCGCGGUUCCAAUCGAGAAAUCUCCUCCUCGUGACAAAUGCUCACGAGCCACAGGCACUCUUCGCGAAGCUCUUCGCGAGCUCAGGAGCUAUACAGACAUAGCUAGAAAGAAAGCUGUGAAUAUUUAAAAUGUACAUAUCAACGGCCACGAUUCAAGCUCUAAGGCAAGGGUUUGAAUCGAUGGCCAGGAUUUCUAGUUCAUAUUACCGUUGAGGGGGAUUUUGAUCGCUCUAGGGCUUUUCAGUCGAAGCAUCGGGCCGGGCGCGCGAUCCGGAGGCUCCUCCCAGAGAUUUCUACGCGAUUUCUAGCGAUGGAGUGGGAGCUGAGCAAGGAGAAUGUGCAGCCGCUCCGCAAGGGCCGGAAAAAUGUCGAUCUGCUCAACCAGGGGCUCAAGGCGAAGCAUAAAUCUCCUGCACGCUCCGUGCUGAUCGAACAGAGAAGGUGAGUUCUUUGCCGCCCGCGCGCUUCCUGGUUUUGAUUUGCUUUCUCGGUCAGGAUUUUGCUCGAGAAGAUUGAUGACUACGUCGGCGAUGAUCCCUUGGAGCCCUGGAUAAGGUAAUGCGCUAUAGAUUCGUGCCCGUUACGAAUCUAUUUCUUUCCAGAUGCAUCGAGUGGACGAAGGAAGCUUUCCCUUCCGGCGGUAGUCAGUCUGGGAUUCUUCCAAUGCUGGAGCUUUGCCUGCGAACGUUCUGCGACGAUUCAAAGUAUAAGUCGGAUUUGCGGUACCUCAAGCUAUGGCUGGACUAUGUAAGCUCUUGUUUUUUUUUUCUUCCUUUCCUGUUUAUCUAGCUCUAGCUUCUCGGCUCUUCUUUUUUAUUUUCUUCCUUUUCCUGUUUAUCUUGCUCUAGCUUCUAGAAAACUAACUUGCGAUGUUCCAGGCGGACAGAUGCACUCAUCCGCGGGACAUUUAUGUCUUUCUGGAGGUGAACGACAUUGGACAGACUUACGCACAGUUUUACGAAGCGUAUGCAUCGUACCUGGAAAGGUGCAAAAAUCUAUCCAAGGCUAACGAAGUUUUUCAGAUCGGUAUUGCCAGGUUCGUAUGAUUUCUCGACUUUGCAGGCUUUGGUUAAUCCUGGACGACUUUCUGUGAGGCAGGGCAGCGGAGCCAGUUGAGGAGCUGAAAAUCAAAUACAAGAGCUUUCUUGAGCGAACUCUUAGAAAACCAAAACCAGAUGCUGUAAGUUUCAGAACGUUUAUGCGGUGUAUGCGGCUUAUACUGUUGGUACUGUAGGAGGAAGACACUGUGGACGAAGGGCUUGCCAGAUCAUUUGGAUCCCUCGUCCUUCCACAAUCUGGACAAAGAACAGGUAGGCUGUUUUGUUUUGUGGCUUGAGUUUUCACUUAACAUGUUCUACUGCUCAGGAAGCAUGCCGAGCAGGCCUCCACAAAAGCCUUCGAAGGGCAAUGCGCCACCGCUGUCUAAGCAGACGUAAAAUGUGACUGUUCUAUGUGUGCUGUUCUAAGGUUCGACCCAUGCAGGUUCUCUGUGUUUGUCGAUUCGGAGCUUAAUCCAGCAUCGAAAGUACCUGGACUGCAUGAGAACGGUGCUCAAGGCCACGCCUUACCUGUUUGGACCAAUUUAGGAUCUCAAGCCGAGAGGACGAAGGAGAACGUUCAACAGCCGACUAGAUGGAAUGAAGCAAAGGUUAGUGAUGAUGAUCAUGCACUUGCUCUGAGAACGUUUUGUUCAGAUUCCUCAAAGGCCCUCCAGGCCCGUUUCUGUGUCGACUGAAGCACUGGAUGUCUACGUUGACGAAGAAUUCACCAGGUACAGUAAUAUUCAGAAAUUUUCAUCUCGCGCUGCUUCAUGAAGUUACUGCAGUGUGGCAUCUCGAAGCUGGAAUCGCAGAAUAUCUACUGCAGCUCUGAAAGUUCGGCUCUCCCGCGGUCAAGACAUCAAGAUGUAAGCUUCAAUUGAACUUCUGAUUGAUCUAUAGAUACUCAGCCGCUCUCUUUUCUUUCCAGUGACACUGAAAUGCUGAAGCAAGCUCCGCUCCGAAACUUCUCAAGGGAGCUCAGAUAGCCACUAGUACACUUUGCCAUGAACUCUAUGGCUGCAAUUUUAACAAUGUCUUUGGGAAUUUUUGUUGAACAACCGCUUUUCGUAAUGGAAAGACUACAGAACUUUUGACAUCUCGCUCUUCCUCGUGAAACAACAAAAGACUGGUAACUAUUGUUGAUCAUAUUUCAUUUGCAUGGGCAUUGGACCAAACAGUGACUGAAGGAAGUAGUUCAAAUAGACAUACGAAAGUUCUGACGACUACUUUUCCUGUUCUUUCAGAACUUGCGAGGGAAGAAAACAUAGUUGUUGAUUCCACAACGGCCUCCAUAGAGUCCAGUUCCACGCUGAAUCUUCAUGUAUCCUUGCUCACCCCAUUUGGUUCCUCUCGAGUUCUUUAAGAUCCAGUAAUCGUCCCCGUUGUCGCUUCCAUAGCCAACGAUCAACACUGCGGUGAGUCCAGUGUCUCCAGUGCUGUGGCAAGGCCCUUUGAAGAUUCCCUGCCAAACAAACACCCAAGUAAGUAACUCUUUUCAGUAAAUAACGUCUACUUCGGAAGUACUUACUCCAGUGUAUUUUACAAAAUCUUUAGAGGAACCAUCAAUGAGAGCCGUGACUGGCUGCUGUGCGACCCUCAUCUUUAACUCUUCUUCAAUAUCGGAAGCUGAAACUCCGGGAGCACACAGAGAGCCCCGCAGUGUGUCGAAACCAUCGAUGAACACCUUGUAUGGAUUCUGAAAGGCAAAUGUGUAAGUCAUCUUUGUUGCCACUUUUUCUUAUAACUCACCCCGAUGUGGCAGGUGCUGUUUUUCCCGAUGUAAGGAUACGAGGCGCUUGCUUCCAGCCCCGUUUUCUGAAUGUAGACGAAAGAGUCCUGCGGGAAGCCGUAGUCGCAUCCGCCAUUGUAGACAUCGCAGUCGAUGAGUUCUUGGGCCGAGAGCUCCACCAAGUUCCCGGUGACGAUCUUGUUCAGGCCCUCCACCGCUCCAGCAGUUGCAAAGGCCCAGCCUCCACCUAGAAAGAACGAGAAAUACUUUAAGACCAACAUCUCGACAAAGCAGGAAAAGAAAGAACUCCAGGGAAGUAACUCGAGAACUGGCAACAGGGAAGGGCGAAGCUACAUUCUUACCAGUGCAGUUACCAACAUCUUUCACGGACGUCACAGCCCCCUCCUUCCUCCAGUCGACAGCUUCUGGAACGUGAGGAAACGGAGGCCUCCUCGGCUCAGGAGGCUCAUCAGAAUGAUCGACUUUGGUCCGCAGGACAGGCGAAGCAACCCGAGAUGGCAGACGAGGCUUGAACUCCUCGUGAUCCAGGUCCGGAAGAUGGUCCAGGCCCAGCCAGUAGAGCCGGAGGUUCCUAUAGUAGUCGUGGAGCAUCCUCACAUUACGCUUGAAGAGCUCAAACUUACGCUCCUCCUCGGCUCUCUCGGCAUACACUCUCGAGUGCUCGGCUCUCCAACGAUCAAACAUGAACUUAAAGCCAGCAUCCGGGUCGAGCUCCUCGGGAGCGUACCAGAAGUUGGGACCCUCGCGAUCCUCAUCACGACCAUGGUGAGGGAAUGCAGCAGCCACUACUACUAGUGUGAAGCAACAGGCGAGAAGAGCUAAGAGGACGUGACGACGAGACAACGCCAUGGCUACUAGACUUUUAAGGUUUGAGAACGUUUGCUCGGUUAUAUAGUGAGAUAUUUACGACAGGUUGCGCGGGCAUGGAUAACGUGGGAGCGAGAAAAUCGAAUCGCUUGAAGGUACCGCCAGGGUAAACUUUUCUUUUCGGCUAGGUGUCCGUCUUAGAAGAGUGACAAGUCACAGAAGCGAGACGUCUUUGCAAGCUUUUCUUUUACAAGUUAUAUCUUAAGCAGGCGAAUACAUUUAGUAGCAAUGGGGGCCAUAUCCACAAACGGUUGUGAUCGGGCAGCAUUUGAACAAAAACAAGCAGGAUGGAAACAUACAGCAGCAUUUCUGACCAUACCCACAUGGUGGGCAAAGUGGCGAUGGUGGUGGAGGUGGUGGGGGUGGGGGUGAGGGUGAGGGUGGUGGUGGCGGUGGUGGUGGGGGUGAGGGUGGUGGAGGUGAUGCUGUUGGUGGUGAUGGUGGUGGGGGUGAGGGUGGCGAUGAUGGAUGUGGCGGGGAGGGUGAUGGUGAUGGUGGUGGGGCUGAGGGUGAAGGUGAAGGUACUGGUGCUCGUGAUGGUGAUUGGGUAGAACCUUGACCAAAGCUUAUGCUUGACUGAUAUUCAUUGGGUACUUUCAUCUCUAUGAUACUACUCAACGAUUCCAGCAUUUUACCUCCCAGACUAUUGGAGCUAACCAUGGAUUUACCAAGAAUCAUCAGCCUACACACAUUAUUCUUGAAUAACUCAUGCCUGUUUGCUCCCUUGUUUACGGUGGUGCCAUCAUCCUUCCCACACCAUUCCCUGAGUAAACCUUCCGUGGAACAAGCAUUUUGAUUCUUGAGAGUUGAACCAGCAGUGGAUUGAGUGAGGAUCACAGUGAAGAGCAGGAGACAGCACCAAUGGGAAGAACUGGAAGAAGCCAUUACUCAAAAAGUCUCAGAUUCUCUGCCGUAUAUAAACUCAAAUUGCAACCACUAGAAAAAAUUAUCAGUAGCAAACAAAUUGCGUGGCAUUCCACCUCAACCAUUUCUGUAGCUUGCAUCUUAUCAAACAAGACACUUGUCUAGAAGAGCAGCCCACACAUCACGCACAACGCCAAAACAUAUUUUAAAGCAAAGGAAUUUCAGACCACCUCAGAAUUAGCCAUAACAACCAGCCUGGGACAAAAGAAUUAUCUGCGUAGUAUUUUCUUGACUGGUGGUAUACCAACAAGUUUGGGUGUAUUGCUUCCAGAUUCAAAUACACCGUUUGACAUUUGCAGGUUGUGUGCCAAGAAGCUUGAGAUACUAGAAGGGCACAUUUAUGCUCACCGGAAAGACGUAAAGAUGACAAUCUUAUGGGAUUUCUCAUGGUGAAAAGAUUUCAAAGUUUGGUCUCUCAUCAAGCCUUAACUGAAUUCAAGAAAAUCAAAACAAAUCUAAGCUCUAGAAAUUCAUUGAAUUUACAUUACAGUCAAGUUAUGAGAAAACAAAAAGAAUGAAUGUACAAAUUUCCAGCUUCGUCGUCAGGUUUCCAGUCAGGAGCUUCGCUCUGGUGUAGAGAACUUCCCAAGCUCCACGAUCAUGACGGUCACAUCGUCGAGGCACCCUCGCUUGAGUGUCAGGUCUACCAAUCGUCGGCACGCAGCACCUAAGCUCGACAAUCCGGGAGUUGAAGCAGCACCACGAGAAUCUAGUUGGAUCGAUUCACGCUUCGCUCCCACCUUGAGGGCCAACAAUGCGCACUCCGCGGCUUCCUGGUUUGACACCUAGGAAAGCGAAGGUCAGCACAUCACGGAGAAGACGUAAAAAAAGAGAAGAUUUGCUCUUCACAAGGAAAACGUGAGAGAAGAAAAGGAGAAAGGGAGAGAGAGAGAGAGAGAGAUGGAGAUGUUUUCCACAAGGAAAGUUUCCAGAGAUGACAGGAGAAAGGAGCUCAGAGAGAGAGAGAGAGAGAUGGCUAUGGCGCUCUCACCAGGUCCCAGAGUCCAUCGGACGCCAAGAUGAGGAACUCGCAGUCGCUGGUCAGCGGCAAGCUCACCACGUGUGGAUCGCACGAGAUGAAUUCCUUCAAAUGUAUGUCUCCAAUUCCUCUCGACACUGCCAGCACGCCCUGGACCCUCCACGUCCCCGUGUAGCGAUCCACGAUUCCACCCUGGAAGAACGCGUUGGUGAUCGAAUUCUAGAAGAUAUGGAUGAACUUACGAGACUUUCUACUCUCCGGCGCUCCGACUCGGAGCUGAAUCGAUGAUCCUGCGUGAGCUGGAUGGCCGCGCCGCCGGAUUUCACGAGCAGCGCCCGGCAAUCCCCCGCAUUGGCGACGAUGAGCUCGUUCCGGGCAAUUAGCGCCGAGACGCAGCUCGCGCCACUGCUAGAACCCUAGAAAACCAAGAAAAUUUCAAGCGUGGGGAUCGAUAGAGCUCGAUCGUUACCUGGCGCAAGAACUCGUCAUCCGUGGUGUGGUAUCCCAUCCGGAUCUCCUGCGCACCGAUUUGCAUCGCGCCGGCCUCGUCGGUAGGGCAAGCCGCCUUGACGAUGUUGUCCAGGAGAUUGCGCGCUGCGAAUCUCGCCGCCGCGCGCCCGCCAUGGCCAUCGAAGACGCCAAAGAAUCCCUGUAACCAGAUCCAUUGAGCCAAGAACCCUAAAAUUCCACGGAAGAGAGAGCCCAAGAACCCUAAAAUUCCAGGAAGAAGAAGAGAUGGAAGGAGGUAUCACCUGCUUGGGCAGUGCCGUGAAGCUGUCCUCCAUGAUCUGGCGCCGCCCCUUCUUACACGCGACGCCAUAGCCAUGGCCAGCGUGCGUGAGGUCGGAAUAUUCGUCGUCCACGCACUCCUCCGCCGUGGAAGAUUCCCUCUCCGACGCGGGAAUGGCGAGCCUGGGCGGCCGCUUCCUCUUGAGCAAGCUCGCCGGCGGCGCGGGCGAUUUCAUCCCCGGAUCGCCGUCGCCGCCGCCUCCGAUCGACGCGAUGAGCAGCUCUUCCUUGACCACCGCCGCCGCCGACGACCUGGGCGAGAGCGGCGAAGAGGGCGACGCGAAUUUGCCCGGCGACGAUGCCAGCGAGCACAGCAAUCGCGUGGGCGAUGGGCAAGUCGCCGCUACCGCCAUGAUCAUCGAUCGAUCGCAAUUGGCGAGGAACACCAGCGAUCGAUUAUCGAUCACUCCUUCCAGCCCAGGAAACCAAGAUCGAGCCUCGCCACUUCCAGCGCCCCCGGAAAGAGUCUCUCGCCCUUUUUUCCUCUCUUCCCACUCUUUUCUCUCGCGCAAAGUCGCCCACACGAGAGACGAAGAGUUAAAAUCGCGACCACCUCUCCUCUCACAUUGACCGGGCUUUACUAGCGGCGAUUCGUUCGUUCGUGCGGGUCUUCCACGAAAACUUCUCCCUCUCUCUCUCCCUCUCUCUCUCUCCCUCUCUCUCUCUCUCUCACACACGCAACGGUAGCUCUUCUUCUUCUUCCUCCUUUUCUCGACCUUAAGAGAAAAAAUUCCUUGGAUCCAUUCACUCCUCCUCCUUCCUCUCGGCUCGGCUUAAAGAGAGAAAAUUCCUUUCCAACGAUCGAUCCGUUCACUGGCGCUGGCGUGGAUUAGAUUCGAUUCCACUGCUUUCCCUGUGGCUUUGCUGCGCGGAACCAAAGCCUGACUAGAACUUGUGCCAGGCGCGCGAUUGACCCGGCUAAAGAUAUAUAAUCCGGCCGCACAGCACAGCCACCAAAUUCAUUUACAAUUUCACCGCCACGACUGGACUUUCCAGAGUCCAUCUUCUUCGCUCUGCGUAGCUUUCAAUAUAAACGACUUCAAAGUAGAUCUCUUCUCAAGUCCAGACUUUUCCAGCGACUAUAAAAGCUUUCCCAGGUAGAAAGAACUUCCAAAAAACCUCCCAACUUUUCGCGUGAGUGCGAGAGAUGCCCGAUGAUCAAGCUCUACACGUUUCGCCACUAUUCCCAAAGCUUUCCAUCACCACUUCCACCUCAGUCCCAUCAAAAUCCAAACUUCCUUUCUUCCAGAGAAAAAGAGAUCCUCCACAAAACCUUCCAUCCUUUCAUCCCUGUGCCUGUGCCAGUCCUAUAGCAUAUCCAACCUCAGUCGCAUCAAAAUCCAAACUUCAGCCUCCACAAAACUUUCCAUCCUUCCAGCCCUGUAUGCCUGUUCACCAAAAUCCAAGCUUUUCCAAGCCCUGUCCCUGUGCCGUUCCAUGCAUGCUCUAGCUCGUCAAACCUUCCAGACAAGUCUUCUCGGAGUCUCAGUCUCACAGUCCCAGUCCUCGUUCCAAGCACUGGCGUCAUCCAACCUUUCUCCAUCAAAGCUUUCAAGUUCCUCGUCUGACUGUCCGAUGGUCGGCUGAUCCUGGAUUCCUUCCCUGCCUGUUGCAUUCCUGCUUUUCCCUUGCGAGCUCUUCACGUACUGUGACCCGUUGUACGCUUGUGGCGACUGAAAUCCGAGACAAACCUGUAGCUCUUGCCGCACUCGGUGCAGGCGUAGGGCCUCUCGCCGGUGUGGACUCGGAUGUGCUCCGUUCGGGCCCAGGACCAUUUGAACGUCUUCUUGCAGCCUUUCCAGGGACACUUGAGAGGCCGGUCGUCGGCAUGGACGCGGUAGUGCUGCAUCAGGUAGCUGUGCGAGCAGAGGCGCUUGGAGCACUCCUUGAUGGUGCAGAUGUUGCGCUUGUGCAGAGCUAGCUCGCUCGCUGUUCGGAAGCUCAUCGUGCAUCCAUCGAAGUCGCAAGUGUGUAGUCCAUGAGAGUGCACCAUGCCGGGAGCAAGCUUGCGCUUCGUCGCCUCGCUGCCAGGCCUUUUUGUCGACGUCGAAGCCUUCUUCGCUCCUCCUGCAAGGGACAAAAGUUUCAUGUUGGUUGCUUCACGCAUAGGAAACGUACCUCGUCUAGGAGCUUUCUCUUGUUCUUCUGCUGCUUGAGCUUUCCAGCUCUUGCGCUUGGUCCUCUUAGCUCUGGAUUCCAGACCAUACUCUGCGGCUUCAUCCACAGCGCGUUCGUCAUCCUCAACAGACGAAGCUGACACAUUGCUAUAAUUCUGCUCCUCCUCGUCUUCCUCUUCUUCUUCUUCAUCAUAAUCUUCUUCCAGGUCCUCGUCUGUUAGCUGUUUCUCUUCGUCGCUAGCCUCCAAAGAUGAAGCUAUUUGAGUCCUUUUCCUCUUUGGGAUUCCUAUCUUCAAUGGCGUCCUGUGAGCCGUCGGCCAUGCCUUUGGCUUCUCAUCCAUGUACGAUGAAUGAAAAGUUGGAGAAAACGAGAUAGGCACGUCAUGCCAUACGCUGUUUGAGAAACAGAGCGUCGAUCCUGCACCAUGCUGACCAUCGUCUUCAGUGAUCACCACCGAAACAGGCUCAUUUUCAGCAGCUACAGGCUCAGGCUCCUUCUCCUUGGAUUUCUGCUCAGGUUCCUCCAGAGGAGCUGGUAACACUUCCUUAUAUGCCGCAACAUUCUCCUGAGGGGCCUCUUCGUCCAAAACCACAGCUUCACGAUGAAUCUCAGGCUCCUCCUUGCAGUCCACGAUAACUAGCGGCUUGGUCGUUUCCUCAGGACACGGCAGCUCCAACUUCCCGUUUUCUUCCUUUUCUUCCUUGCAAACUAGAGGAGGUAGAGGCCGGACUUCUUCAGACGAGCGAUUCUCCGUUCGAAGCUCUGGCUCUGACACUUUGACAUCCUCGUCAAGAGAAGCAGCAUUCUCGGUCUUGACAUCGUUGGCCUCGAGUUCAGAAGGAAGACUUUCACUUAUUUGCGUGGAGCAAGGCUGAGGCUCGGAUUCAACCCGCCAUACUGCAACCAUUUGUGUCCGUUUCCUUUUCCUACAGUUUUUCCUGAGGCUUGCAUAGUCCUCACUCUUAAGUAUGUCCUCGUCGUGGCCGCCUUUACUUUUCCCGGUCUUACUAUCCGCUAACUCAUCCUGGUUAUCUUCUACUUUGGAAGCUGUUCGGCACCCUCCUAAAAUGGCGUGCGUCUGAUCAUGUCUCCAGACCCGACCACACCAACGCCCGACUACUUUCUUCUCCUUCGAUGUCUUCUCUACCACCAAUUCAGUGUCAUCUUCGUCUGUUUCUGCCCUGCUGUUUUCUAAAAAGGAUGCUGUCGCUGGAAGCCUUGCCUGAACAUGAUCAAUCCAACCGUUGUCAGGUCUCUCAGCCGCUUCGAUUGCAGCGCUGAUGAGUUGCAAAUCCUGCUGGUUCUCCUCGUCAUAUGUGGUAUCUCUGAAGCGACACCGAAUGCUCAUAUCCAUUGCAAAGUCCUUCGCAUUCUUAUCGAACAUCUCAUACUCUGUAAGCACAUGAAAGAAAAGAAAAAAAAGGAAUCAGUUCCACAAAGCAGCUGAAAAACAGCGAAGCAUUUACCUGGAUGAUAAACAACCAGCACGAGGCUUCCCCCGCAACCUUGGAGCAGCAAGGAUACCUGUAACGCGUGCUCCGAGCACAUGAUAUAUGGACGCUGUAAGUUAUCCCGGCCUGCUUUCCUGCUCCCAUUCGGAAGUAGAACCUUCCGAGACGACCCAUUCUCAUCUUCCUGUCCGUGGUUCUCAUCUGUGACUGUCAAUCUUCCUUCCCGAAUACUCUCACUGGCUUUGGACGUCGGCUGAACGAUCACUACGCAAGAGUAGCACAGAAUACCGCAAAUGGAACAGCACACAUUCCCCCAAUCAAUUCGAGGAGGACUGUUUUUACCGAGGGUCUUAUCAUCGCCAACCUUCUCGUCGGCGCCUUCCAUGGUUUCGCACACAAAUGAUAGCAGCGAGAUAGAGUCAAUUGUGCCUAGGUUCACCAGGUUGGAGAGACUCUCCUUCCCGUCAUCUCCCUUGAGAAUAACCCGCCUUGCCUGUGUCAUGCUAACGAGUUUGUCGAGCACCUGUUGAUUCUUGGCCAUGUCGUUGACGAACUCUGUUCUUACUGCUUCCUCUGCGCCGACUUUCAUUUUGUGCUUUAGUCUCGAACUUCGGACAUCCUGUGCGUUUGAACUAGCAACAAAAAUUCGUCAAUUCAAUCAAUCAUAGAUGGAUAGCUUGGUUUUGUUACCUUUUCGCAAAUGCUAGUGCUGUUUGGUAUAAUAAUUUCUCAUGGCAAACCAUCGGAGGACGGCAUAAUAAUUCUUUGCGAGCAGCUGCUUGCUUGGCAGCUUUCAACCAGCCUGGACUUGCUAAACUGCUGGUUUCACCGCAAUUGAAACCUGGAAAACGUAAUGUAAGUAAUAAACCACAAGCAAAGCGCGCCUACUAUGGCUGAAGCUGAAAUUAUACGCCCUCGGAAAAACGAUGACGUACUCUCCAGGGUUCUGCACAAGUCUGAGAUGCGCUUGUCACAUACAUGCAAACGAUCGAAAAUCAAAAGAAACACCUGCAGCAGGGAACGCCAUUGAUCACGAGCACUUCCGGGCUGACGACGGAGUUAUCGUCUACAAACAAAAACACAUCGCGAGUAUCAAGGAAAAAAUCCUUAGCAAACCAUCACUAACCUUGGUUUCUUAAAACGUCCUCGAAAGCAGGAGCCGCGCCGGGUGGCACCACAUACCACGUCUUCGGAGCACCCAGAUGCAAAUAGUCCACAAAGUGGAGGUCGUGGCUCUCGGUUCUCCAUGACCAGUGGCUGAAGAGCAUGGCUAUGUAUAACAGCGGAGACGUCACGCCUUGGACCUCGCCAGGCAUGAAUCUCAGCAAAGAUCCCUGUAACUUCGCCAAGUAUCUCAUGUUCCAGGGACUAUUGACGAGCUUCCACCCUUCCCUGUCCACAGCACUCUUCUUCCUUUUCUUGCCAUCGCCCUGCUCGCUAUCACUCUCCGGGAACGCGGAGCCUGGAAUAUAGUCCGCAUAUUCCACAGUCACUGGCUUAUCCUCCUCGAUUGUCUUCCAGAACAGAGCCUCCAAGA